CAGUAGCCGCGGGAAUACGUAGGGUGCAAGCGUUAAUCGGAAUUACUGGGCGUAAAGCGUGCGCAGGCGGUUAUAUAAGUCAGAUGUGAAAUCCCCGGGCUCAACCUGGGAACUGCAUUUGAGACUGUAUGGCUAGAGUGUGUCAGAGGGGGGUAGAAUUCCACGUGUAGCAGUGAAAUGCGUAGAUAUGUGGAGGAAUACCGAUGGCGAAGGCAGCCCCCUGGGAUAACACUGACGCUCAUGCACGAAAGCGUGGGGAGCGAACAGGAUUAGAUACCCGGGUAGUCCCUGUCUCUUAUAC
rnacentral:rRNA from 1 species